UACGUAGGUGGCAAGCGUUGUCCGGAAUUACUGGGCGUAAAGGGUGCGCAGGCGGUCUCGUAAGCUGGGUGUGAAAGCCCCGGGCUUAACCUGGGAAUGGCAUUCAGGACUGCGAGGCUUUGAGUGUGGCAGAGGGAGGUGGAAUUCCACGUGUAGCAGUGAAAUGCGUAGAGAUGUGGAGGAACACCGAUGGCGAAGGCAGCCUCCUGGGCCAGCACUGACGCUCAUGCACGAAAGCGUGGGGAGCAAACAGG
rnacentral:rRNA from 1 species